ACGGGAGAAAAAUCCAAUCUGGUGGGGAGCAUCAAAUACCAGGAAACACCAAUCACCGCUGGAGACAAAGACCACUGCUGAGGAUCAGAGACCGCUGUCGGGGAUCAGCAAAAGGUCACAACUAUCAAUUGAUGGGGAUCUUCCAACAAUUUUCGGGAACACGCAGAGAUCAGUCACAGAAGAACUCUACUGGGGAUCUUAUCAGGGGAUGAUGUGAAAUUUUAUGGGGAACAACCACCAAACAGAAAC
rnacentral:lncRNA from 1 species